GCUGGCUCUGUCCUCUUUGCACCCUCCCUUCAUGUUUUUAUGAACAUUGAUGAGCUCUGCCCUGAAACUCUUUUUCUCCAGGUCAAAGUCAGAUACAUAGCCUGUCCAGCUAUCAAGAAACCCCAGUUUUCUCUACUCCACUAAGUGUUUUCCAGUCUGAAGAAAGAUCAUACGUAAUGUACAUGCUGUCAGUUAAAGAACUGGAAAGCAGCUGAAAAAGCUGUAACAAUAGAACUGUAUCUCCAGUAGCCUACUACGAAGCAAUCAAGAUGUCUCAAUCUUAUACACACGUUUUUCUUGAUGCCUCAACUGCUUUGGCAUUUGACAGGAUCACAACCCAACAGCAUCUAUUAUUUCUGCCUGGGAAUUGAAGAAUGCUCCUGCUGGCAUUUCUCUUCCCUGCAAGCUGUAGCAAGGACCACGAGAUGGCAGUACUGCACGAGCAAUUGGACCAAGGGACAAUUAUUU
rnacentral:lncRNA from 1 species